rnacentral:rRNA from 1 species
UUGGAGGGCAAGUCUGGUGCCAGCAGCCGCGGUAAUUCCGGCUCCAAUAGCGUAUAUUAAAGUUGUUGCAGUUAAAAAGCUCGUAGUUGAAUUUCGGGAUCAGAUUGUCGGUCGUGCCUCGGUACGCACUGGCGUUAUUGGUUCCUACCUUCUGAAGAACCGCGAUGUCAUUAAUUUGGUGUCGUGGGGAGUCAGGACUGUUACUUUGAAAAAAUUAGAGUGUUUAAAGCAGGC